AUGCCAACGUUUAUUGCUUAUAUGUAUCGUGAGUUAACGGUCGCCUAAUCGUGUCCCCAUUUGCCUUAGAGGACCAUUUCCCACCUUAGGUGGAUAUUGAGUUUUUUCAAAUAAUAACAAAACGAUAUAGAGAAUUGAAAGGCAUUUUUUUUCUCUGUCAUUUCUCAGAAGUGGAAAUAAAAAUUGGCCAAAUCCAAGUUAGGUCUCUUUAAAAAAAAAAAAAAAUCGAAUACAAGAACUUUUUUCUUCUUUCAGUCUGAGUAUCCAAUGGAAUUCAUUCUUGCUCGUUUAUUUAUUUAUUUAUUUAUUUUUAUUUCUUCUUCAAAGAAAAAGCACUAGAUUGUUUUUACAAACCCUUUAUAGACAGCAGUUGAUCUUGAAAACUCAUAUACAUUUACUUGGGAGUAAAUCUCAUUUGGACUCUUGAGGGGUUUAUUUUGCAAAUGUUGCAGUGUUUAUUAGUUAUAAGUUAUACAGUGAAAUAAUAAGAAAAAUCUGGCAAAUUAAAUAGCAACCCAAUUUGUUAAGACUAAAGGUAACCCACAGAGCCAUGUGGUUUUCUUUGGUAGAAUACAGGAGUGGAUUACCAUUGCGUCCUCCUGCACAGUGUGAGAUGAUGCCUUUGAGCAGCUUCCUAAGUCACUGCUGCCCAAUAUAGGUGUUUCCCAUAUUCUGGGAAACAUACCAGCGGGGACUUAAACCAGCAACCUCUUGCUCGCUAGGCAAGUCAAUAGAAUAACAUGCAGAUUAAACAUGCAUAAAAACAAGCUCUUUAUUGCCAACAACUUUAAAUGCAAGUAGAGAGCUGUUUAGUUAUUGUAAUGUAAAUACUGUGAAAGGCAUGUGCAAGUUUUGUUUCUCAAAUACAGAGUCCUCCAGCCCAGCCCGGAUGUGUACAUGGAAUCUGGUUCUCACAAUUUCAGUGGUUGGACUGAAGGUUAAAGCUGUGAUUUGUACCUGGAAUCUACAGCCAGAGGCCUGAAAUACUACACCAAGUGAGUGCUCCUUGCAGUAGGAAGCCAAAGAGCACAAUGCUCUUCUCAAACAUAUCGGAGUUUGUGAAAGAAUGCCGGCAUCAUCAGCAUACAGGAGGAUAGCAAGAUGCUUAUCCAAUAAUUUGAGAGCAUGAUGGUCCCGAUUACUUAAAUGGGAAGCAAGGGAGCUAAUAUAAAAAAUAAACAGUAGAGGAGCCAAAAUGCAUCCUUGUCUCACUCCCCUGAACAUUAGAGUUUCCUUGGUGAGGUGCCCCUGUGCACUACAGUGCACCCUUACACGGGAACUUUCAUUGGAGAUCAAUUAUCAAACAUAGUAGACGACGAUCUUUUGAUGACUUUAGUAGCUUGUUCCAGAGUUUCUCUCUGAGGAGCAAAUCAAAGGCAGCCCUGAAAUCAACAAAACCUGCACACAAAGCAGAACCAGAGUUGGAGAAGGAUUCUCCUAUUCAAUGCUGCAAACUUAGGACUGGGUCCAUAACAGAGCGACCAGCAGGGAAGCCAAACUGCUCCUCAGCCAAGAUGUUCUUCAUCUGGAACCAGUCUAGCAGUCCGACUUGCAGCUUACUUUCCACACUGAGCAGACUAAUGGGUCUGUCGUUUUGCUCUGAAAAGUAUUUAUGCUCUUGCAAAAGACUGCAAGCCUGCCUACACUUUGGAAGUACAACACACCAGCGUAAUGGCUAGUGUUCAUAGUGCAUAGCAGUGCACACACACUUUUAGUCAGGAUGUCAGCCAUUGAUUUGCUUAGGUAGAGAUAAAUAAUGCACAUUUACGUUUCAAGUGAGAAUGAGCUUUGUUGCUCCAGCUUAGUUUUUCAUCCUGGGUGUUAGGUUUGAGACUGUCAAUCUAAUUUAGGGCUCCAAGUUAUUUUCACUAGGUAUCUCACUCGUUAUAGCAGCAACUGCUGAGAACUCUGAUACACACGAGUAUGAAUUAAGCAGGGAGUCAGUAUUUUCAUGGUUUUCUAAUCUUUGUGCUCUGCAUACAAAUCCAAAACUCAGGAAAAGACACUUUUGCGAAUGUACAGUUGUUCCGACUUCUCCAAGACAUGAGGAGGGCAGCAAGUGCGGAAAACCACCUGGAUUUCACAGAGCUGCUCACCUGGCUGCUCACAAAGCCAAGGGCAGCACAGCAAUGGCACUUCUUUGGCCACUUACUAGAUGAACUCUGGUGAAUGUCUCCUGAGAGGGAACUCUCCUCUGACAAACAAGUGCCAUUGCUGUGCUUGCCCUUGGCUUUGUGAGUGGUGGAAGAGCCAAGUAGGUGUUGGUUUCUAUCUGCCAUCCAUCCUUCCUGACUGUCUCCACACCUUGGACACGUUGGGUAAGGCCCCUGCCUGCUGAGUUGUUUGGUACUCCCUGGAGGGUCUUGACUCCCAGUUUGAGAACCCCUACUCUAGGGUAGUGCCACCUAAUGGUGCAGCGGGUAAGUAACUUGCGUAGGGAGCAAGAAGUUGCUGGUUUGAAUCCCUGCUGGUAUGUUUCCCAGACUAUGGGAAAACACUUAUAUCGGGCAGCAGCGAUACAGGAAGAUGCUGAAAGGCAUCAUCUCAUACUGUGCAGGAGAUGGCAAUGGUAAACCCCUCCUGUGUUCUACCAAAGACAACCACAGGGCUCUGUGGUUGCCAAGAGUCAACACCGACUCGACAGCACAACUUUACUUUACUCUAGGGUAAUACUACUGAAAUUCUAAGGUUUAGGACUUUUUUCCUACAAGCAUACUUGGCAGUAAGUCCCAUUAAACUUAACAUGUUUUAUUUCUGCAUAAAAAACAUGCUAAAGAGCACAAAUGUGUUAGAGUACUACAAAAUAAGAUGGUUAGAACAACCUUAAAUAAAAAUAUGCAUUUAAGAAAGCUUGUUUUAUCAUAGCAAUAGCACUUACAUUUAUAUACCGCUUUAUAGCCGAAGCUCUCU